UCUUAUUGAGAGAGGUGGAGGGACUGGCCCUACGAAACCUAGCAACCUACUUUAAGGUGUGGUGCUUAAUCCUACAGAGAAAUUUGGAAAAUGAGA
rnacentral:ncRNA from 1 species